rnacentral:rRNA from 1 species
UGCGUAGGCGGCUCUUUAAGUCAGUGGUGAAAUCUUGCCGCUUAACGGUAAAAUUGCCAUUGAUACUGAAGAGCUUGAGUACAGUUGAGGUAAGCGGAAUGUGUAGUGUAGCGGUGAAAUGCUUAGAUAUUACACAGAACACCAAUUGCGAAGGCAGCUUACUAAACUGUUACUGACGCUGAUGCACGAAAGCGUGGGGAGCGAACAGGAUUAGAUACCCUGGGUAGUCCACGCCGUAAACGAUGCUCACUCGCUGUUUGCGAUACACAGCAAGCGGCCAAGCGAAAGCAUUAAGUGAGCCACCUGGGGAGUACGAUCGCAAGGUUGAA